rnacentral:lncRNA from 1 species
ACAGACUGCUAUCUAACAGACUUUCUAAACAGACUGCUAUCUAACAGACUGCUAUCUAACAGACUGCUAUCUAACAGACUGCUAUCUAACAGACUGCUAUCUAACAGACUACUAUCUAACAGACUACUAUCUAACAGGAUUUCUACACAGACUGCUAUCUACAGACUUCUAAACAAACUCUAUCUAACAGACUUUCUAAACAGACUGCUAUCUAACAGACUGCUAUCUAACAGACUGCUAUAUAACGACGACUAUCUAACAGACCUUCUAAACAGACUGCUAUCUAACCGACUGCUAUCUAACCGACUGCUAUCUAACCGACUGCUAUCUAACCGACUGCUAUCUAACUCCGACUGACUAUCUAACCGACUGCUAUCUAACCCGACUGCUAUCUAAAGACUGCUAUCUAACGACUUUCUAAACCGCUGCUAUCUAACGACUGCUAUCUACAGAGCUAUCUAAGACGCUAUCUAACGACUGCUAUCUAACAGACUGCUAUCUAACGACUGCUAUCUAACCGACUGCUAUCUAACCGACUGCUAUCUAACCCGACUGCUUCCAAACCGAUGCUAUCUAACCAGACUGCUAUCUAACCAGACUGCUAUCCAAACCGACGCUAUCCAACCGACUGCUAUCCAAACCGACUGCUAUCCUAACAGCCUGCUAUCCUACAGCCUGCUAUCCAAACCGACUGCUAUCCAAACCGACUGCUAUCCUAACAGCCUGCUAUCCUAACAGCCUGCUAUCUAACCAGACUGCUAUCUAACCAGACUGCUAUCCAAACCGAUGCUAUCCAAACCGACUGCUAUCCUACCAGCCUGCUAUCCUAACAGCUGCUAUCCUAAC